rnacentral:rRNA from 1 species
UACGAAGGGGGCUAGCGUUGCUCGGAAUCACUGGGCGUAAAGCGCACGUAGGCGGACUCUUAAGUCGGUGGUGAAAUCCUGGAGCUCAACUCCAGAACUGCCUCGAUACUGGGAGUCUUGAGUCGGGAGAGGUGAGUGGAACUGCGAGUGUAGAGGUGAAAUUCGUAGAUAUUCGGAAGAAACACCAGUGGCGAAGGCGACUUACUGGACACAUAUUGACGCUGAGGAGCGAAAGCGGUGGGGAGCGAACGAGG